GACAGAGGGUGCAAACGUUGUUCGGAAUUACUGGCGAAGACGCGUGUAGCGGCUCGGAAGUCGGGAUGGUGAAGACCGCUGGGCUUAACCCAGGAAGUCACUCGAAACUUCCGAGCUGGAGUCCUGGAGAGGAAGGGCGGAAUUCUCGGUGUAGAGGUGAAAUUCGUAGAUAUCGAGAGGAACACCGGUGGCGAAGGCGGCCUUCUGGACAGUGACUGACGCUGAGACGCGAAAGCGUGGGGAGCAAACAGG
rnacentral:rRNA from 1 species